rfam:Tenacibaculum dicentrarchi strain AY7486TD, complete genome.
CAAAAUCACGAGUUGGUUAUGGAGAAGUCAGCAGAGGUCAUAGUACCUACAGGAAACGAGUUGAGGAAAGACCUCAGGCAGUCUCACAAGUAGGGAAGGAC